CUUGCCCCAGGUUUAGUUAAGGACUUAAAUACCACCAUGAGCUGGUACUGCAUAGUAGCGUGCAGCUCAGCCCACAGUCUGGUUCAAAGUGCCAGUCGCUUUUCCUUAGCAAAACCGGCUCAUGCCUUUCAUUUCAGUCUUCUGGACUCCCAAGCCAGCGUGUAGGACAGUAUAUAAGAGGAGUUCUGAGGGGCUGGAGGACACAGUCCACCCCAGACACGGCCCAGGCCUCUUUACCCACCCACGGGAGCCUUGCUGCAAGGCUAGGGGGGCACCAGGAAACCCAAGCUGGUGAGAAGAGCCACUGAUCCGUGCCUCUUUGAAGCAGAAGUUAGGUGGGAUGGAGAGGUGGGGACAGAGUUUUCGCUCUUGUUACCCAGGCUGGAGUGUAAUGGCGCGAUCUCGGCUCACCGCAACCUCCGCCUCCUGGGUUCAGGCAAUUCUCCUUCCUCAGCCUCCUGAGUAGCUGGGAUUACAGGUCUUGCUCUGCCACCCAGGCUGGAGUUCAGCGGCAUGACCAUGGCUGUAAGAAGCUUCAAUCUCCUGGGCUCAAAUGAUCCUCCCACCUCGGCCUCUUGAGUUGCUGGGACUACAGGCACAUGCCACCACUCUGGGUAAUUUUAAAAUUUUUUGUAGAGAUGGGGUCUCACUAUGUUGCCCCGGCUAAUCUCGAACUUCUGGGCUCGAGCAAUCCUCCCACCUCAGCCUCCGAAAGUGCUGGGAUUACAGAUGUGAUCCACUGUAUCUGGCUGUUAAUUUCUAAUUUUACUCCAUUGUGAUCAAAGAACAUACUUUGUAUAAUUUCAAUCCCUUUUGAAAUUACUUUUUGAGAUUGCUUUUUUCAAAAAUCCUUUUUGAGAUUAUUUGUAUAGCCUAACAUAUGAUCUGCCCUGGAAAAUGUCCCACAUGCACUUGAGAAGAAUGUGUAUUCUGCUGUUGUUAAAUGGAGUGUUCUAGAUAAAAAAGUUCAACUUUUAUUACAUCUCAUUGUUUUGGUCUUAAACGAGUUUUACAAGGUGCAAAAUAGUAAUGCUCUCCUUCAACUCAUUUUCAGCUCAUAUCAGGCUUUUUCCCCUUGAGCUCUGUUUGUUGUGGCCUGAUGCUAACAAUGUUUCCUUAAAGGUCUAAAGGAAAUGUUUUCUUCUGACAUAAUAUUCUUUGCACUGCAGAAAGUCUUUUCUUUGGCCUUUUCAUUACUGGCCUAACAGAUUUUAUGUCUUAUCAAAUAAUUCCUAUGACAUUGUUAUUAAAUUUUGGUUUGCUUAGAAAAAUCUGAGAUUAAAAAAUCUUUUUUUCAAUUAAGAUUAUUACAUCUGUGUAUCUUUCUGUAUGUGCUUUUAAAGUCCUUGUAACAUUGAGUUACAGGGCUUUGACUCCUGGGUCUAAAAGGGACAUCAAGUCCUGCUAACUCUUAAACUCUGAUAGCAAUUAAAUUAUCAUAUUCAGGUCCAGUAGAAGGUGCCAAUCAAAAUAAACUGCAUUCCUAAGACACAGAGCCAGAAAUUAAAGAUACGCAACUCCUCAAGGUCCAGGGAAGAACACAGGAGAGGCAAGUGCAUGAGAUUUUAAGGGCCAAUUUUAAGAGAUAAAAGUUCAGUUUCUCUAUAAAUUAACCAUCAAUGUCAAAGGCACACUGAUGCAACACCAGCACAUGAUGCCAGAUUAACAAGGUUUUUUUGAAGCAUUAACUGACUUGUUAUUAAAGGUUAUAAAGGUUAUAAAAACACUUAUGGAUAUUAGAUCUUAUGGUCAAAAUUAACAUUUUAUAGAUUGUUUAUAAAAUUUUGAAAAACAAAUUUAAUUGGCUUCAUGCUGCUUUUAUUAGGGUUUAUUGUUUGGAAAAUUAAGUCUCAUAUCAAAGAAUAAGGGUUUUCAUCUUUAAAAAAAAUCUUUAUCACUUUGGUUAAAUAAAUCACUUACUUUAUAUUGACCUCUGAUCCUGUUUUAUGAUAUCAAGUAUUUUAAACCUUUGAUAUUUGACAGACUUUUCAAAAUCAAAUUAUACAUGUCUUUUUCUGACCUAAUUAAUCCUUUUAGAUGUUAGUUUUCCAAAAAUGACAUGUUUGGUUUAUUUGGUACAAAAAUUAUACAGGAAGCAUUGUCAAACAUGAAAUGGUUUGGUUUUCUUUGGGCUGUAUUUGUAUAAAUAUGUUAUUGGUAUGUGUUCCAAAAUUAUGGGAACUCCUAUAUUCUGUUAUGACUCAGUAUACAUUGUUAGUAAUAAUAAUUGUUAUGUUAAAUUUUUGUGUGCCACAGAGGUAACAAAUUUCCUUGUUAAUUGUAUCUUUGACUGUGGUUGUUCUAAAAGUUUUUGUCACCCAUGGACGAUUGUCUUGUUUUGGUCCUCCUUAGAAGAUGGUUUUAUAAUCUGUUAUAAAACUCUAAUAGGUGCUCUUGAAUGCAAGUUUCUGAUAAUUUUGGAGAUUAUGACAUCAGAAUAGAAGAAAAACUUUCAGGACUCACGGAGAGCUAAAAUGUUCAUGAAUAUCAAGCAGAACUAUAAUUAACUGCAUGGAUUGAACUAACAGAUGACUGAAGUAAUCUUUUUAAUUUUUUGCUUAAAAUGUUACUGAUGAUGUUUUGUUUUGUUUUUUAGAGUCAAAGGAACUUUUCUUUUGCACCAUUGACAGCUUUUAACAAUUAAAUAUACUCCUACAAACAAAAUUU